GUGUGUCGUGGAUUUAUAGAAAAUCAUUUGGGAUUUUUAUUUGUCGAAAUUGGGCCUCAAUUUGGGAAAUUGAGUGAGGAGAUUGAAUUUAAUUGGUGAAAUUCGGAAUUUGAAAUGGAGCUAGAAAUUGGACUUCAAUUUGGAUAUUUUUGUGGAAUUUAAGAAGUGGAAAGAAUUAGGGGGACAUUGCAUUAAAUUGGGUAGAUAGAGAUGUGGACUUUAAGCUCUAUUUUAGUCUACUUGAGCUAGAAAUCCAGCUGCCCUCCAAUUACUUGCUGUCCCUAUCCCCUCCUACGCACGUCUCCAUUUUAUUUUUCAAUUCCCCGGAGCUCCUCGGAAACAACCCAGCGAGGACACCAUCUUCAUCCACGGAGCUUCAUUUCUCUGCCAAAUUCGGUCCACAAAAGAGACCAACAAAGCUGAGUUGUUGACUCAUUGAUGUGUUGUCCUUCAUCCACA
rnacentral:lncRNA from 1 species